AAUGGGUCAGCGACUUAUAUUCUGUAGCAAGGUUAACCGAAUAGGGGAGCCGAAGGGAAACCGAGUCUUAACUGGGCGUUAAGUUGCAGGGUAUAGACCCGAAACCCGGUGAUCUAGCCAUGGGCAGGUUGAAGGUUGGGUAACACUAACUGGAGGACCGAACCGACUAAUGUUGAAAAAUUAGCGGAUGACUUGUGGCUGGGGGUGAAAGGCCAAUCAAACCGGGAGAUAGCUGGUUCUCCCCGAAAGCUAUUUAGGUAGCGCCUCGUGAAUUCAUCUCCGGGGGUAGAGCACUGUUUCGGCAAGGGGGUCAUCCCGACUUACCAACCCGAUGCAAACUGCGAAUACCGGAGAAUGUUAUCACGGGAGACACACGGCGGGUGCUAACGUCCGUCGUGAAGAGGGAAACAACCCAGACCGCCAGCUAAGGUCCCAAAGUCAUGGUUAAGUGGGAAACGAUGUGGGAAGGCCCAGACAGCCAGGAUGUUGGCUUAGAAGCAGCCAUCAUUUAAAGAAAGCGUAAUAGCUCACUGGUCGAGUCGGCCUGCGCGGAAGAUGUAACGGGGCUAAACCAUGCACCGAAGCUGCGGCAGCGACACUAUGUGUUGUUGGGUAGGGGAGCGUUCUGUAAGCCUGUGAAGGUGUACUGUGAGGUAUGCUGGAGGUAUCAGAAGUGCGAAUGCUGACAUAAGUAACGAUAAAGCGGGUGAAAAGCCCGCUCGCCGGAAGACCAAGGGUUCCUGUCCAACGUUAAUCGGGGCAGGGUGAGUCGACCCCUAAGGCGAGGCCGAAAGGCGUAGUCGAUGGGAAACAGGUUAAUAUUCCUGUACUUGGUGUUACUGCGAAGGGGGGACGGAGAAGGCUAUGUUGGCCGGGCGACGGUUGUCCCGGUUUAAGCGUGUAGGCUGGUUUUCCAGGCAAAUCCGGAAAAUCAAGGCUGAGGCGUGAUGACGAGGCACUACGGUGCUGAAGCAACAAAUGCCCUGCUUCCAGGAAAAGCCUCUAAGCAUCAGGUAACAUCAAAUCGUACCCCAAACCGACACAGGUGGUCAGGUAGAGAAUACCAAGGCGCUUGAGAGAACUCGGGUGAAGGAACUAGGCAAAAUGGUGCCGUAACUUCGGGAGAAGGCACGCUGAUAUGUAGGUGAAGCGACUUGCUC
rnacentral:rRNA from 1 species